GUAUUCACCUGGCAGGGGAGAUACCAUGAUCACGAAGGUGGUUUUCCCAGGGCGAGGCCUAUCCAUUGCACCCUGGAUGUGCUGACACCUGCGAUCUCCCCAAACGUGGAAAACUCGACUGCAUAAUUUGUGGUAGUGGGGGGACUGUGUUAGAGAUUUCCCCUG
ensembl:snRNA U1 U1 spliceosomal RNA